GAUGAACGCUGGCGGCGUGCUUAACACAUGCAAGUCGAACGGUGAAGCAGGAGCUUGCUCCUGUGGAUCAGUGGCGAACGGGUGAGUAACACGUGAGCAAUCUGCCCUGGACUCUGGGAUAAGCGUUGGAAACGACGUCUAAUACCGGAUACGAGGCGUGGGGGCAUCCCCAACGCCUGGAAAGAACUUCGGUCCAGGAUGAGCUCGCGGCCUAUCAGGUAGUUGGUGAGGUAACGGCUCACCAAGCCUACGACGGGUAGCCGGCCUGAGAGGGUGACCGGCCACACUGGGACUGAGACACGGCCCAGACUCCUACGGGAGGCAGCAGUGGGGAAUAUUGCACAAUGGGCGCAAGCCUGAUGCAGCAACGCCGCGUGAGGGACGACGGCCUUCGGGUUGUAAACUGCUUUUAUAUGGGAAGAUUAUGACGGUACCAUAUGAAUAAGGACCGGCUAACUACGUGCCAGCCGCCGCAGUAACAC
rnacentral:rRNA from 1 species